rnacentral:piRNA from 1 species
UACAUAGUGAUACCCUGUUUCAAAAACUAA